AUGAAAUUCGGCCAAUACCCUCAUAAGUCCUGUUUGAUUUCAUCCCAGAAUUCUUUCACAAAAUCAAAGUUCACUCCAUCCGAUCCAGGGCUUUUGUCACCAUCGCAUUCCCAUCCUACUCUUCGAACUUCCAUUUCCAAAAAUUCUCACACUAGACGUGCGCAACCAUCGCAAGCAAGGCAUAAUUCAGUAGACCAAAACAUCGUUAAAGUCGUGUUCUUAUGUAACAGGGUAUCCAUGUGA